rnacentral:lncRNA from 1 species
GGCGGGCGAUUGAUCCUCCAUGCCGGCGAGAAGGGAUCUCCCUCGCCGCCCUCCAAGAUCACCGCUCUCGUGGAAGCACCCGGAUCAUACUCUCCCUCCCAGUUCCUCCCAAAGUACGACUACCUCUACUGCGGCUCCUCGCUGUUUGGCGACGUCAAUCCACAGCGGCUUCGCGAGUGGAUCGCAUACCACGCCUGGCUGUUCGGACCGAGAUCGCAUUUCGUGCUCCACGACGCCGGCGGCGCGCGAUCCAAGGGCGUGAGAUUGGUGCUGGAGCCUUGGGUCCGAUCGGGGCGAGUGACCGUCCAGGAUUUUCGCGAGCAAGCGCGCUUCGAUGGCUACUACCAUAACCAGUUCCUGGUCGUGAACGAUUGCUUGUUUCGCUACAAGCACGCCGCCAAUUGGACCUUCUUCUUCGACGUGGACGAGUACGUACACGUUCCCGGCCCAUCCACGUUGGAUUCCGUGCUGAACGAGCUUGGCCAAAAGUACUCUCAGAUCAUCUUUAAGCAGACCCCCAUGGGCCACAAUGUGUGCAUCGACAGCAAUCGUACGAACUUAUCUAGGUGACUCUCUCUCUUUCUGUGUGUGUGUGUGUGUGUGUGUGAUUGUUUAGAGCUAGAGUUCCUUUUAGAUUGCCUUGGUGUUUCUUCUAUAUCUUACGGUCGCUUGAUCUUCUUCUUCCAGGCAAUGGGGAUUUGAGAAGCUGGUUUUCAUCAACGUCAACGUCCAAAAAACGUUGCAUCUCGAGCGAAAGUACGUGUUGCGAGCGCCACUGGCAGAUUCCGCAGGAGUCCAUCUCUCGCAGAAUUUAAGAGGGAAGAGCAUCUACUCGAAAGACCACAUUUCUUACUACCACUUCCACAACACCAUCAGCGAACACCAGGAGAAUUGCCGAGAGUUUGUCAAGGUUCCCAAGCACAAGACCUCCAAAGUGUGGCUCAACAAAGUCCCGUACCUUUACGACGAUAGAUUGAGCUCUUUGGCUGAUAAGGUGAAGGAGUUUGAGCUACAAACCAUUGGUCCAGUAACACUGUAGAGAAAAAAGAUUAAACAGGUCAGAGCCAUUCUUUGUAAAGAACUAGAAACUUAUAUGAUACCCGAGGCAUACAGGAUUUCCAACUGACAGAAUGUUUAUUGCUGAUCAAAUGCGUGCACGUACAUGGCAUUUUCCUGUAGGAAGCAAAUUAACUUCACAACACUGACUGGAUUUGCCGCUAUGGAGCCGUGGUUAAACUAGAAUAUAAAAAGGGAUUUAGUACCUGUUAAGGAGGGAGAUCUUGGUUCUCCUCUAUCAGAGCAAGUGUUGUCCUGGAAAGCUGAAGAUCGGGUGGAUAUGGUGAAAAGAGUAGAUAAGAACAUCAUCAUGCGAUUCGGCUGCCACCUUGAGUUCGUGAGCGAUUUAGGUACGCAGUUUAUUAAUACGGUUAUUGCAGACACCGUAUCCUCCUUAGCAAAUUGCGAAGUUGAGCGGACAAACAAGACGCUAUAUGCACUAUGACUAAGAUUUGCAACGCUGGGACUUGAAACACUAGCGGUGCAAAUCUUAGUCAGAGUGUCACAUAGUCUCUUGUUUGCCACUCAACUAUUGUGCAGAGAGUCGAUGAGUUGGGCAUGAGAGCUGCCUCUACCUCAAUCAGGCAGCCAAAGUCUUCAGGGAGACUCGCCACAGCUUCCUGCCAUGGACCUAUUCUGUCAGAUGGAGCUCGCUUGACAUCGUAGUCCUCUUGAAUGGAAAGGUCAUCUCGAUCGCCUCUAGAUCCAGGCCCGCCUCUACUAAAGCGCAGAUCACCACAUUCCAAGAGACUGGACUUCUAGUCAACAAUGGUGUCAAAGGAUUCAAUUGUGGUGGAAGCGGUGAUGAUGAUUAUCGCCCUCUCGACUAGAGCCUCGAUGCUGAUGCAAGCUCUCGGGAUAGAUCCCACGCUAUGUAGUUGUUCUAGCACUGCUGCCGCUGGCCAUAUUUUGAGUUUGUAACUUAUAAGCAAAAGGCAAGAUUGAACCUUUCGUUUUAUAUUUCUCAAAUAUUAAACCAGAGAAGGAGCCGAGAACUCCAAUCCAAAGGAAUAUUGUUGUUGCUAAGUCUUCACCCACGCCUUGAGCUUUUCUCGACUUGAACUUCUGGGACUUUAGGCUUUGGAUCUUCUUCUUCUUCGCCACCAUUUCUUCCAAGUAGUUCAUGAUUUUGUUCUUCCCAUUUUCAACGCCUCUCCAUGAUCUGCUCAGCAGUGAAGUUAGAUCCAUGUCCAUGAUCUGCCGGGGAGUGUAAGUUUGUGUCCUGACGUGAAAAGGAUACCAUUAUACGUGAAAAGGAAACUAUUAUAAUAACCGCUAAUGUGGAUUCCAUGCUUGCAAGACGCAUUCCAACUUACAAAACCUCGACUUUACUUUCAUUUGAAGCGGCGAGGACCGAAAAACUCGAAAAAAUCUGAAAACGAUUAAUUAAAACAAUGGCUUUGCGAGUAAGUAUAUAAAAUUGAGAAAAGCGUCCGAGAGAAUCGCCAAAAGCACCACACCAGUGGUGGGAUGGAAUUGAAGCACUAGCAACCACGAUAACGAUAUGACCUCGUCCGUACGAGACGGCGGGUGUGCCGUACGCCUCACAAUGGGCCACGCGAACGAGAGAAAUAGAAGAGAAAAGAAGCUAUCUAUUUCUAUGCCGUAAGUCAGAAGGCGUCUGCGAGGAGCCCAGCCGUGUAGAAAUGUGAGAAUCGACCACUACAGCGCAAAAGGGCAUUGAUCGAUCGUUCUCCCAAUCCAGAAUUCUCAAGAAUUCCAUUCCAUGCCACAUUCCAGAAUCGGAUCGAUCGAUCCAGCUUUCCAGAUGAAGGCACCGGUUGCAGCGCCGGGUCUGCUCCUCCUCCACGCCUCCGCCAGCGGCAAAUCCACCGCGAAUGUGCUGCUGGUCGGGACAAUCUUCCUCGUUGCCUCCCUGCUCGUCAUCCUCGGAUCCUUCACGACCAAGAGCAGCGGCAGCAGCAGCAGCAGCGUCGAAUUCGUGAUGCCCGUCACGCAGUCCUGCGAGAAAUCGUCGCCCAGCUCGUCAAUGUCCAAGAAUUUCGUCCCCGCUGAGGCAAUUGAUCCAAUUCUUGCGCUCGAAGAACAGGGGACCGGGAUACACUCCAAUGUCCGCCAUCUCCAUCCAAUCGGCGUCGCCGCCCACACAUUCGUCCUCACUGGAGGCUAUAGAACAGAGAAGAGGUCCUUCGCGGUCGUGGGCCUCGCCUCCAAGCCCCUCCACGUCUUUGGCAAGCCCGAGUUCUCGUGUGAAUGGGUGCCCACCACCUCGGCCUCCCAGCCCACCUCGGACUCUCCUUCUUCUUCUUCCAUCUUUGGCCGCGCAAAGAGAAUCUUGCCCGACUGGGGCUAUGGCCGCGUCUACACCGUGGUAGUCGUCCACUGCUACUUCAAGUCCUCCGUGGGCGAGAACGGCAGCGGCGGGCGAUUGAUCCUCCAUGCCGGCGAGAAGGGAUCCGCCACGCCGCCCUCCAAGAUCACCGCGCUUGUGGAAGCGCCCGGAUCAUACUCUCCCUCCCAGUUCCUCCCAAAGUACGACUACCUCUACUGCGGCUCCUCGCUGUUUGGCGACAUCAAUCCACAGCGGCUGCGCGAGUGGAUCGCGUACCACGCCUGGCUGUUCGGACCAAGAUCGCAUUUCGUGCUCCACGACGUCGGCGGC